AAUACGUAGGUGGCAAGCGUUAUCCGGAUUUACUGGGUGUAAAGGGCGUGUAGGCGGUAUACCAAGUCAGAUGUGAAAUCUCCCGGCUCAACCGGGAGCGUGCAUCUGAAACUGGUACACUUGAGUGCUGGAGGGGAAAGCGGAAUUCCUAGUGUAGCGGUAAAAUGCGUAGAUAUUAGGAGGAACACCGGUGGCGAAGGCGGCUUUCUGGACAGUAACUGACGCUGAGGCGCGAAAGCGUGGGGAGCAAACAGGAUUAGAUACCCUGGUAGUCCACGCCAUAAACGAUGAAUACUAGGUGUAGGGGGUAUCGACCCCCUCUGUGCCGACGUUAACACAUUAAGUAUUCCACCUGGGGAGUACGGCCGCAAGGCUGAAACUCAAAGGAAUUGACGGGG
rnacentral:rRNA from 1 species